rnacentral:lncRNA from 1 species
AUGUAUGGUAAUGAAGAUGACAAACUGUUUUGUUUAACUGUAGCAAUUGAUUUAUUAAAAGAAAAAUGUCAUGGCAUGAAUUUGUAUUUUUUUACAAAAUGACAUAAAUUUGAGUAAUUGGAGUUUUCUAGAACAAUUUGUUUUGCAAAAUAAAUUAAAUUUUGAAUUUUAUAUGUUUAUUAAUAAUAUUUUAAAAAUAAAUAGCUCUAAAGAUAUUAAAGAAAAAAUGAAAAAAAAAUAUGAACAAGAAAUAUAUCAAAUAAAAGAAAUAACAGGAUGUAAUAAUAAUAAUUUAAUUUUUAAAAAUUUACGAAAAAAAUAAUUUUGAUGUAUCUAAUACUGUGGAAACAAUUUUAAAUAUGAAUAACAAUAAACUUCAUAGUAGUAUAGAAGAUAAAAAAAAUACGCUCAUUUUUUCUUCACAUAGUUUGGCUAGUAGUUCCAGUGGUAGUGAUGUUAUUGGUAGUGAUAGUAGUGUUAGUGUUAGUGUUAGUGUUAGUGGUAGUGGUGUUGAUAAUCCGGAUUCUGCUUUUUCAAAAAAUAACUUAUCAUCAUCUUCAUUAUCAUUUGUAACAGAAAUAGGAGGAACAAAAAAAAAUAUUUUAGAAAUAUUAAGAGAACGAGAGAGAAAAAGUAAAGCUCAAAAAAAAAGAAAAAAUAAAUAUGAGUAUACUACUAAUCGUUUAUUGGAUGAUGAAAACAAAAAUAAAAUUUUGAAUCAACUUAAUUGUUCAAGUGACUCAGAAGAAUCAUUAUUAGAUAUAUCAAUAAAUAUAAAUCAAAACAAUAUUAUUACCCCAACUUCAUAUAGACAAAACUAUAACUAUGGGGAUAAAUCUAGUAGUUCUCAAAAUGAAAAUAAACAAACUGAUACAUACAAAGGAAAACAAAAUAAACAGAAUUAUAGAUAUAACAGAGAAACAAGUUAUUAUAAACCUAACGUUUCUGCACAACAACAAAACAUUAUUACAAGAAAUGACAAUGGAAAUGCUCGAUCAAAUUAUACUCAUAAAGGUAUACGAAAUUAUAGUAAUACUGGAACACAACAAUACAGUCGUACUGAUAAAAAUAAUUACAGUCGUACUGAUCAAUCAAAUUAUAAGUCAAGAGUAAGGGAAAUGCCCAAAGCAGAAGGGAAGGAGAUACUACGAACAAAAACACUCAUUCGACGAAAGAAAAAACGAAAAGAAGUUAUAAGAAAAAAAACAGUGAACAAAGGAAAAUACAAUCAAAAACAGUAUGAUAAAAAAAUGGGUAGAGGUAUGUUUUAAAAUAAUAAUAAUAAUAAUAAUAAUAAUAAUUAAAAAAAAAAUGUCUGUAAAUAUCUAGUCAAUUUUUUAUUAAUUUGUUUAUAAAAAAUUGAGAAAACUAUUCACAGAUUUUAAUUUUGCAUUAUAUGUUAUUCCCUUUUAUUUUAAAAAAUAAAAAUAUAUGGGUCUAAACUAAUAAUGCUUAU